rnacentral:rRNA from 3 species
AAAACGACUCUCGGCAACGGAUAUCUCGGCUCUCGCAUCGAUGAAGAACGUAGCGAAAUGUGAUACUUGGUGUGAAUUGCAGAAUCCCGUGAACCAUCGAGUCUUUGAACGCAAGUUGCGCCCCAAGCCGUUAGGCCGAGGGCACGCCUGCCUGGGUGUCACGC